CCCGCAGGGCAACCGGCGAACGGGUGCGUAACACGUGAGCAAUCUGCCGAUCUCUGGGGGAUAGCCGGCCCAACGGCCGGGUAAUACCGCAUACGCUCAUCGGGGGACAUCCCCUGGUGAGGAAACCUCCGGGGGAGAUCGAGGAGCUCGCGACCUAUCAGCUAGUUGGUGAGGUAACGGCUCACCAAGGCGACGACGGGUAGCUGGUCUGAGAGGAUGGCCAGCCACAUUGGGACUGCGACACGGCCCAGACUCCUACGGGAGGCAGCAGUGGGGAAUAUUGCGCAAUGGACGAAAGUCUGACGCAGCGACGCCGCGUGUGGGAUGAAGCUCUUCGGGGUGUAAACCACUGUUGCCCGGGAAGAAUAUCCUGAUUCAUCAGGAUUGACGGUACCGGGUGAGGAAGCACCGGCUAACUCUGUGCCAGCAGCCGCGGUAAUACAGAGGGUGCGAGCGUUGUCCGGAAUCACUGGGCGUAAAGGGCGCGUAGGUGGCUUUGGUAAGUGUGCGGUGAAAGCCCGGGGCUCAACCCCGGGUCUGCCGUGCAGACUGCCUGGCUCGAGCAUAGUAGA
rnacentral:rRNA from 1 species